GGAUUGUGGCUCAGCGAUAGAAUGCUCGCCUAGCAUGUGUGAGGCCCUGGGUUUGAUCCUCAGCACCA
rnacentral:tRNA from 1 species